AACUAAAAAACAAAUUAUUGUAUUUCAGUUUCGACCUGUUUUUAUGACUUUAAAGUCUUUAGUUU
rnacentral:tRNA from 1 species